rnacentral:ncRNA from 2 species
AAGAUUAUAUUUAAUUUGAACCAUAUAUACUCCGAAUACGGCGGAGAGUUUCUACGAGCUACCUUAAAUAGCUUUCUAUGGGUCACAACUUAGUAUUU